rnacentral:rRNA from 1 species
AUUGAACGCUGGCGGCAGGCCUAACACAUGCAAGUCGAGCGAGCGGCGGACGGGUGAGUAAUGUAUGGGAAACUGCCCGAUGGAGGGGGAUAACUACUGGAAACGGUAGCUAAUACCGCAUACUAUCAGAUGUGCCCAGAUGGGAUUAGCUAGUAGGUGGGGUAAUGGCUCACCUAGGCGACGAUCCCUAGCUGGUCUGAGAGGAUGACCAGCAACACUGGAACUGAGAGACGGCCCAGACUCCUACGGGAGGCAGCAGUGGGGAAUAUGGCACAAUGGGCGCAAGCCUGAUGCAGCCAUGCCGCGUGUAUGAAGAAGGCCUUCGGGUUGUAAAGCACUUUCAGCCGGGAGGCGUUACCCGCAGAAGAAGCACCGGCUAACUCCGUGCCAGCAGCCGCGGUAAUAC